AACGAACGCUGGCGGCAUGCCUAACAUAUGCAAGUCGAACGAGACCUCCGGGUCUAGUGGCGCACGGGUGCGUAACGCGUGGGAACCUGCCCUUAGGUUCGGAAUAACUCCCCGAAAGGGGUGCUAAUACCGGAUAAUGUCUUCGGACCAAAGAUUUAUCGCCUUUGGAUGGGCCCGCGUUGGAUUAGCUAGUUGGUAGGGUAAAAGCCUACCAAGGCGACGAUCCAUAGCUGGUCUGAGAGGAUGAUCAGCCACACUGGGACUGAGACACGGCCCAGACUCCUACGGGAGGCAGCAGUGGGGAAUAUUGGACAAUGGGCGAAAGCCUGAUCCAGCAAUGCCGCGUGAGUGAUGAAGGCCUUAGGGUUGUAAAGCUCUUUUACCCGGGAUGAUAAUGACAGUACCGGGAGAAUAAGCGCCGGCUAACUCCGUG
rnacentral:rRNA from 1 species